UUCGUUGCGUGUACCUGUCAUCAUCGUCCAGCAGCUGAAAAUAAUAACAAGACGAAAUUAACAAUUAGUCAUCAUCCUGGUCGCCAUCGCAUUUUUCCGUCGAUUUUGCGCGAGUGUGCUGCUAUUUCCCGUGAGUUCGGCUGUUCCCCGGAAGAUAUAAACGGUGCAGUUUUCCAGAGCGAGGCCAAACCUUGUGGCACAGGAAGCCGUUCCCUUGGAAGCACUGCAAAGAUUCUUCGGGAGUUAAAGUUGGAUGAACCAGCAGAAGAACCAGCGAUCGAAGGAAUCCACAGGGCCAAAAGGAUCGUGCGAAAGGGUCGGAUUGUGAGAGCCGACAUAAUUAGAUGACUGUUAUUGGGUGAAGCCACACCUUUCGGACGAGCAAAUAGAAACUGGCAUACGAGCGUGAGCAUACCAGCCUGAAGAGCAAAGCCUCAACCACUCCCAGGCCCCAAAUAGGGGUCUUUUUCCGGAGCUGAAAAUUGUGUCGUCCGAGGACUAGUGCCGUCUUCUCCCGGAAGCUGAAGCUGCUGCCGGUGGUGCUCAACUCCUGGUCAUCUGAUGACAUUGAGGUCGCUGCAAGUAAGAAAAGGUGAAGAAGAAUAAGAAACAUGUAAGUACUAGCGCUAGUCAGAAGAUAAAGAAGAAGCUUAAGUAAAGCAAGAAGAAAAUAAGAAGCAGGCAAGCAGGAAGAAGAAGCAGCAGUACAGAAGGAAGAAGAGAAGAGGCGGAAUGGAAGAAGAAGAGUAGAAGCAGAAUGGAAGAAGAACGGUAGAAGCAGAAUGGAAGAAGAAAAAGAGGAUGAUGAUGAGCGGGAGGAGAAGAAGAAGGAGAUUGAAAGAAAGUAUGCGGUCUGAAAGAAUAAGAAAACAAUGAUUAGAAAUAGAAAAUAAGCAACAAAUUUGUUUUGGUUUUGUUUUGUGGCGUAGUUUUUUGUAUGUUUUGGUGAUUUGUGUUUCCUCCCCCAUUGCUAGCCGGGAGAGAAGCAAAAGAACUUCAACAUUGGCGCCCAACUUAAAAACCCAUGAAAUAAUGCUACCGCAUAAUUAUUUUAAGAUUUUUGGAUUGUUGAUUUUAGUCUAGUCUUAAGAUUUAUGUUUUGUUUUGGUGAUUUAUGCUAAGUUUUGUUAUUUGUGGAUUUGAUAUUAUUUGUUCUCGCUCAUCAAUACCCACAAAAAGUUAACUGAUUUAGACUUAGCAUUUAUUUUUAAUUUUAAAAGGAAAAUUAACUCAUUUUUGAUGAAAAAUUUUCCUAGAAGGCUCUCUUAACAAUCAAAAUGAUUCGACUCGAAGAAAUUGGUUAAUAUCAUCGAGUAACGAUUCCAGCUAUGACACAGAACAACCUCUAUCUGUGUACUACAACGCUCAACGCGCCCAAAACACCGUUUGCCGAUCGGGAAAAAUCGUGCCACCCACGAGUGCAGUUAGCAAGUUCAUUUCUUGCCAUCGCCUCG